rnacentral:rRNA from 1 species
CCUACGCGUGGCAGCAGUCGAGAAUCAUUCACAAUGGGGGAAACUCUGAUGGUGCGACGCCGCGUGGGGGAAUGAAGGUCUUCGGAUUGUAAACCCCUGUCAUGUGGGAGCAAAUUAAAAAGAUAGUACCACAAGAGGAAGAGACGGCUAACUCUGUGCCAGCAGCCGCGGUAAUACAGAGGUCUCAAGCGUUGUUCGGAAUCACUGGGCGUAAAGCGUGCGUAGGCUGUUUCGUAAGUCGUGUGUGAAAGGCGCGGGCUCAACCCGCGGACGGCACAUGAUACUGCGAGACUAGAGUAAUGGAGGGGGAACCGGAAGUCUCGGUGUAGCAGUGAAAUGCGUAGAUAUCGAGAGGAACACUCGUGGCGAAGGCGGGUUCCUGGACAUUAACUGACGCUGAGGCACGAAGGCCAGGGGAGCGAAAGGGAUUAGAUACCCUGGUAGUC